rnacentral:rRNA from 1 species
GAUGAACGCUGGCGGCGUGCCUAAUACAUGCCAGUCGAGCGAACAGAUGAGGAGCUUGCUCCUCUGACGUUAGCGGCGGACGGGUGAGUAACACGUGGAUAACCUACCUAUAAGACUGGGAUAACUUCGGGAAACCGGAGCUAAUACCGGAUAAUAUAUUGAACCGCAUGGUUCAAUAGUGAAAGACGGUUUUGCUGUCACUUAUAGAUGGAUCCGCGCCGCAUUAGCUAGUUGGUAAGGUAACGGCUUACCAAGGCAACGAUGCGUAGCCGACCUGAGAGGGUGAUCGGCCACACUGGAACUGAGACACGGUCCAGACUCCUACGGGAGGCAGCAGUAGGGAAUCUUCCGCAAUGGGCGAAAGCCUGACGGAGCAACGCCGCGUGAGUGAUGAAGGUCUUCGGAUCGUAAAACUCUGUUAUUAGGGAAGAACAAAUGUGUAAGUAACUAUGCACGUCUUGACGGUACCCAAUCAGAAAGCCACGGCUAACUUCGUG